GACGAACGCUGGCGGCGUGCUUAACGCAUGCAAGUCGAACGGAAAGGCCUGCUUUUGUGGGGUGCUCGAGUGGCGAACGGGUGAGUAACACGUGAGUAACCUGCCCUUGACUUUGGGAUAACUUCAGGAAACUGGGGCUAAUACCGGAUAGGAGCUCCUGCUGCAUGGUGGGGGUUGGAAAGUUUCGGCGGUUGGGGAUGGACUCGCGGCUUAUCAGCUUGUUGGUGGGGUAGUGGCUUACCAAGGCUUUGACGGGUAGCCGGCCUGAGAGGGUGACCGGCCACAUUGGGACUGAGAUACGGCCCAGACUCCUACGGGAGGCAGCAGUGGGGAAUAUUGCACAAUGGGCGGAAGCCUGAUGCAGCAACGCCGCGUGCGGGAUGACGGCCUUCGGGUUGUAAACCGCUUUCGCCUGUGACGAAGCGUGAGUGACGGUAAUGGGUAAAGAAGCACCGGCUAACUACGUG
rnacentral:rRNA from 1 species